UAAAAACUACAGCGUUAUUUUACAGAAGCUGACUGUAUUUUAAAUAAUACAGAAUAUUGCUGUAAAGUGCAAUGCAUUCUGGGGUCACGUGACGGAUUAACUCAAUGUACAGAAUAUUGCUGUAAAUUUCAAAUCUACAAUGGCGGGAUGAUCUUCAACAAUCGAGAUUGGGGUAGUGCGCAAAAUGAAUGAUUCACACCUGUGGUAAGUAACUUAUUACGUAUUUUUUUUCCAUAUUUGGUAACUAUCAUACUGGUAACUUUAUAUAGAGGUAUCUAAAUUCGCGGUUCAUAUUGCUAACCCCGGAUUCAACCUCCAUCCGCGGGGACCGAAGGAGUCUUGCGGGGUUUCAGCAGCGCCGUCGCGGUAAGAUUUCAAACAUUCUCCGUCGCUAUAGCACCUGAGGACAGAAGUUGUUCAUGUUAUUUAGAGUUUUUGUUCACACCAGGAGUGAAGGCGGUAUGUGACGAGCUACAGUUCAUUGUAUUAGUAAGUUGACGGUUGUUUUUUUAAUGUUGAACAUCGCGCCCGCCGUAGACUCGGUAAAAGUUACAUGCUUCGACAGUUGGGAUACCACACUCGCUCGUGAUUAUUUUCUGGUGUAAUUCAAAUUUGCAAAUGCAGUCAUCCGUUAAAUCGAGCGCCCAAAUUAAAAUGAGUCACCAUAGCUUGAGGACACACUUUGCCAUGCAGGCCACUGGAUGCUGACUACUGAAGGUUAGGUUGUGUGUGACGGUGCUCAGCACAGCUUCAUGUCUGGCCUUGUCACUCUGUUCAUAACAUGUUACAUAUUCAGGCUUGAGUACCAGGAUGGGGCAAGCGUGUAUCUUUGAGUCCAAUGAAAGAUAUUAAUCCAGAGAGUGGAACAAGAAGAAGCGUCAUCUAAAAUGCCAGGAUACAGAAGAAACAGGUUGCAGUGAACCCACAUGUCGCCGCUCUUCUAAACACAAUGAUGAAUAUUCAGUGUAAUCGAUGAAAAUUCCAGCUACUUGUUGUGCUCUGAUGGAUCAAGAUGGUGACCGUUUUACAGACUCACUUGGGCCUUGUUUUGCAAUGUUGUUUCAUGAUGGUAAUGUUGGUUAACGUGUUGUUUAAACAGGAAUGUUUAAAGAGCC